GGAGUCUCAAAAAUUUCUCUCAUUCUGUCAUGAGGAAAAAAAUAUAAAACUGAGUCGAUGUUAAAUUUCUGUUGCAUCUAAAAUGUAUUUGAUUUUCCUCUUUAAAGAAAGAAGAGUUAAAAACACUGAAUUAUUUAUAAGUAAAUUUCCUAUUUUCCUGGGAGACUGAAUUCCUUUUCUUAAGGUAUUUGUGUUUUAUGGCAAACACCAUCUGAAGUACAUGGGUUACAAUUUUUCUAGAUUUGACUUUAGAAAGAGCAGCACCUCUACAGAUAUUUUGAGACAAGACAAGAAUUUGUAAGUACAAUUAUCAUUUAACUGGAGGUAUCAGUAAGAAGGAAGAUACAACAUCUUCAUCUCAAGAUUGGAGAGACAUGGAUUUUAUUGAAUUUGAAGGCUGAACUACACUUUGGAAUUUGCAGACAGAGUGGUGUCCAGGGGUCUGUCUUUGGUCAAGUGCUCUUUAACAUCUUUGUCGAUGACAUAGUGGAAUCAAGUGUCCCUUCAGCAAAUUUGCUGAUGAUACCAAGCUGAAUGGUCCAGUUGACACAAUAGAAGAAAGGGAUGCCAUCCAGAGAGACCUGGACAAGCCUGAGAAGUGGAACCAUGUGAAUCUAAUGAGGUUCAGCAAGGCUAACUGCAAGGUAUUGCACUUCAGAAGGGACAAUCCCACAUACGCAUACAGACUGGCAGAGGAACUCAUUGAGAGCAGCCCCAGAGAGGACUUGGGAGUGUGGUGGGCAAAAAGCUUGACACUAGCCAGUAGUAAGCACUUGCAGCCUGGAAGACCAACUGCAUCCUGGGUUGCAUCAAAAGAGGGGCAGCCAGCAGGGAGAGAUUGUCCCCCUCUGCUCUGCACUCGUGAGGUCCCAUCUGCAGUACUGUGUCUGGGGCCCUCAGGACAAGAAAAAUGUGGAGCUGUUGGAGUGGUUCUGGAGGAUGCCACAAAGAUCUCUCCUUUGAAGAAAGACUGAGAGAGCAGGACUUAUUCAGUCUAGAGAAGAGAAGGUUGUGGGAUACCUCAAUGUGGCCUUCCAGUGCUUGAAGUGAUCUUAUAAACAAGAUGGAGACUGACUUUUUACACAGUCUGAAAGCGAUAUGACACACGAAAAUGGUUUUGAACUAAAAGAAGAUUAGAUAUUAGGCAGAAAUUCUUUUUUCAGAGGGUGAUGAGGCACUGGGUAGGCUGCCCAGAGAGGCUGUAGGUGCCCCAGCUCUGGAGACAUUCAAGUCUAGGUUGGAUGGGAUCCUGAGCAGCCUGAUCUAUUAGGUGACAACCAGACUGUGGUAGGGAUUUGGAACUAGAUGAUCUUGUGGUGCCUUCCAAUCCAAGCCAUUUUAUGAUUCUAUGAUUCUAUAAGGAUAGAAUCUGUCAUUUAUCUACUGCUAUCUCUUCUGAUGUUUCCAAGAGUUGUUAUCCUACAGGUGACAUACCAUAAAAAUUUAUUCUUCUUUCAUUUUGGAAAACAUAUUGGCUGCUGCUUUAAUGUUCUCACUUCCAUUCUUUACUGGAAGUCUCUGUUUACUUAAGUUAAUUUAAAUGAUCCAUCAGAUGAAUCACAACGUUUUAAGUGCUGGCAGGAGGGGCAUUAAGAAAGGCACUAGUUUGCUUAAGGUCCCUUAAGUACGUAGACUGCAAAACAAACUCCAUACAAUUUCACAAGGAUAGUUGGAGUGCAAAUGGUUGAGUAAUGAAGACAGUAAAACAGCCCACAAUAACUUGGCUUCCUCAUAUAGUCCUAUCCAUAGGAAAAAAAAAAUCCUUAAAUGACAAGGGAUACACAUUUCGUUCAUUAUUUAUAUACUUCUCAUCAUGAAUAUGGGAUAAUAUAAAGAAAAAAUGUAUUAGACUCCUUGUGCUUCCAUUUGACAUACUAUAGCAGCCCUGAGUGGACUGGGAUACUGAACAUCCCUGUGAUGUUGUUACACCACUGAUGAUUGUAGUGUGGAGCGCUCCCAAACUUAUCAGCUGCUGCCUGCCCCUGGAUAGCAUUGCCUCAGAUUCCUUAAUCCCCUUGAUUCCUUGAGCAAGGCAUCCCUUUCUGAGUGAUGUAGGUAGCUUUGUCAGGUUGCUGAGUGGCUUCUGCUACCAUAUAUAGCAGAUAUUUCUCCAAGAAUGCUUAGCCUAUAGCAGAAGCUGCCCAGAUUACAACAGAGACAGAACAAGUAGCAACCAUGGUGAGAUCAGCCUCAGCACUGGUAAAGUCGGGCACCUGAAAUUAUCAUCCCAGAGUAAUUGACUGUUGGCAGACACCAUCCCAAGUAAGGAUCUGCAGUGAUCCACAGACAUUAAUCUCAAAUUAAUCCUAUUAAUCCUGAAUUAAUAUGACUAAGUCAUUGCAUGUAGAUUUGGUUGUUUUGCAUGAUUUUCAUAAAGAACAAAGUGUAAAAAGCUGUGAAUAGAUUGCACAUAUCUCCUGUUGUCUCAGACAGGAACAGGAACAGGUUGUCCAGAGAGGCUGUGGAUACUCCCUCCCUGGAGGCAUUCAAGGCUAGGAUGGAUGGGGCUUUGAGCAACCUGGUAUAGAACGGGGUGCCCCGGCCACUGCAGGGGGGUUGGAAUCAGAUGCUCUUAAAUGUUCCUUCCAAACCAAACUGUUCUACAAUUCUAUGAUUCUAUGAGAAUUUGAUGCAUUACAAAGGCGGAUGAUUUAUUGAUUGCUUAAUUAAGAACAAGUUAAGAAUCCGGAAAGAAUAUGCAAACCUACAUCCCACUUAUGAAAAGGAAUAUGUUUUUUUCUUGAGAAGGAAAAGAUAAUGUGGAAGAGUGAAGGAUUUGAGUAUGAAUAUACACUUGUGUAACCCAUGAAGGAACUGGGUAGAAAGUGUCCUACAUUCCCAAAAAUGCAGCUUUCUUUGAUAUUAGACAUUAAGGUAUUAAGAUUGUAUUCUGUGUCAUUAGUUUGAUAAGCAGCUAAACUGCCUGCUGGCAGUUACCAGACAAAGAGAAAUCAUGUAUAAACACAGUUAAUUUCUUAACUAAUCAAUCUUGUCCAUAACUUCUGUAACCAUCUUGCUGUGUUUGCAUUUUUUAAAUAAUAUAUACUUACUUGAUUUCACCCUAGCCUGGUCAAGAGUAAGGGUGAUUUCAAGGCAUCAGGCAAAUAUCAAAGCACAGAGUCCAAUCAGGCUUGCCAAUCUUUGCAUCAGAUGCUGUCCCACUCUUGUGAUACGAAGCAAAGCACACCGAUGAUUUGCUACCCUACUCCCUAGGCUAGCUAAUACUGGGAUACAAAAUAUUUCAAUUUAGUGAUAGAUAUUCUAUUGAUAGUUAGUGUCUAUGACAUAGGCUUUGCAGAUCAGAGCAGCAGAGAGAAAUUUUGGUCCUGGUAGUGUUAGAAAAAAAUGCUUGGUCUUCAUCAGAUAAAUAUACUCACAGCCUCAUAUUAACAAAGUGAAUGGAUAUGCCAGUGAGUAUAAAUAUGGGGCCUCACGUAUACUGGCUUGCAUCACCAGUUAGGUAUACGUAUCUGUCACGAAGUUAUCUAGAUCAAUCUAUGCCCAUGACAGGGGGGCAGUAGGCCCUUGGGCCCCCUGGCUCCCAAGAAUGGGAAGGGAAAAGGGAAAGGGGUAGGAAAACGGGAGUUGGGCUCAGAGAGGGGGAAAAGAACAGAGCAGCGGUAACAAUCUAGGGAGGAAAACUUACCUUACUAACUAUGAUAUUGGUAUGCAAGAUAACAUAAUAUAAUACAAUGUAAUUGAAAUUGAGGCUAAUAAAUCAAAUAAAAUGAGAGAGAAAGUUUCUGAAACCGAAAGGCCUACUUGAAUGAAGGCGCACAGCUUGGAAGCACACGCACCCCUCUGCCUGGCAGUGAGAGAGAGCCAAGAGAGCGCCAGAUCCCAUGAUUUCUGUGACGUAUCUUCCUUCUCUGACCGUGAGGUCCUCUGGGAUACAUAGUUCUUCUCUUUUGAGAAGCAAGUAUCUGGAAGGUUGUCAAUCCACAGAACUGGAGUAUUAACUCUUUUGUUACCCAUGCCGUACAUGACGUUAUGAUGUGGAAUACCAGUAGCAAAAUUACAAAGCCGUGACAGUAUCUUUACUUCAGUUCCUAUAUGAAAACUGUGAAAUAAAUAUUGUUUCGUUUUCUUAUUGUGAUUUUGCCAGUCCUAACAAGUAAGUGUGCAUUAUGAGAAAAGGAGAGAAAGGAAAACUAAAAAUCCCAAAGACUCUUCAGAAGAUCAGAGCUGAAAGCUCAUCACAGAGCUUUCUGGCUUGCUCUUUAUAAGGUUGACACAGUCCUCAACUGAUGAUAUUAUGAUACAAUGAAAGUAUUAAUGUGUUCAAGAAUUUUCAUCAGUUUUAGGACAGGCUGUUCAUCGUCUAGUAACAAGCAUUGCAAGCCCACCUGCUGUUCAGAAAUCUCAAAGUUUCAAUUGUUUUGCCAAAAACUGUGAACAAUACUAGUUUGGAUCCAGUAAGAAAUCACACAGCUUAAGUAAUGAACAACAAAUAGUCAAAGUAAACAAGUCACAAACAAUUUCAUAACACAACAAUGCAAUUGCCAUAGCAAGCACCAUUUAAAAUCACUAGCUGUGUCAACUAAAUGAGUCAGUGAUUGUUUAAUGAGAGUGCGAUUUGUUAAUAACAAAUGAGUGAUAAACACUCUGUUCAGUGGUUCAGAUUGCAUAACCAUCUCUGCUCUUUGGUCAGACAACUUGGAAUUUCAUGAAAACACUUGAAUCUCUUGCAAUGUUUCCAUGUUUCCUGCUCUGGCUAAAUUAGAAAUAUAUGAAAAUAUAUUUCUCCCACUGCUGUGUUACUUUUGCUAAUAGGUGCCAUCGGGAAAUAAAAAGACGUGCAAGUUGAUUAUUUAACCACUGGAAAUUGUAAAUUCAGUUCAACAAAAGGUUAAUAAUGACAUAACAUGAAUAAUGUUAUCUGAGGUAUCAUGCUGAUUUCAAUACGCCUUAUUUCCUUAAUUCUGAUGUCAACGUCUUGCAUCAUACUUCAAAACAUUCAAAGAUGUUUUACAGAACCCAAUGACCUUAUCUAGUCCUUUUACAUUCCUUUUCUUGAAUGUAUCUUCUGAAUGGCAUCUGUGUUUAAUUUUCCCAUUUAAUUUUCCCAGACUACAGUGUUCUUGAUUGAACCUGCAUUAGGUUGGAUUAACCAGAUGAUGAGACAACCUGUGAUGCCUAAGAAGUUAUUGUUCAAUAAAAACUUGGAAUACCUUUCAGAUAUCAUGGGUGAUUGACUCCUAUUUUAUACAUGUGAACAGUAGAAUCUGUUUUCAGUUUGUGUUGAUUUUUAGAUAUUCUCUGUAAGAAUACAAAUGUUCUAAAACCAGAAUUUAUCUCAGCUCAUAUUGAUUAAAACUGCCUGAGUAUUCCUUCUUGAAAUCCAUUUGCAGAAGCAAAGAAGAAUGUCAGUGAAACUGUAAAACUAAAUCUAUUCUGUAGUGUAUUUUUGUUUGUUUAGAGAGCUUCUUUUUUUUUUUUUUUUUUUUUUUGGCAAAUCAAAUUUUGCCUGGAGUCUAGAAAACACAGCUCCGUACACAACAUAUUUGUUCCAAAUAAAAAAUUCAUUUAUAAGCGUUAGAGUACUUGUUCUGCAUUGCUACAGCCUCCUUUAACAAGCUGCCUCUUAAAUUCCAUGCAGGCCAGUAUUAGCAAAAACAUAGCUGCUAGUUAGGUAGAAGUGAUUAUUUCUAUCAGCUCCAUGAAGGGAGCUGGAAAAACCCUUUGCAUUAAGUGAGGCUGAGGGAACUUAAUAUUUGUGUUCUGCUACUGAACAGGAAUGACUGAACCAUAUUCUUCUCAGAGGUGCACAGGCACAUAUAAUGUCAAUAACCACAACUUGCAACAAGGGCAAAACACAAUAAUUUUCACAGUGAUGGUGGUCAGGCACUUAGCAGGUUGCCUGGAUGGCCACAAAAUCUCUCCCUUUGACAGUGUUCAGAAUCUCCCUGAUCAAGGUACCAAGGCACUACCCAGUGUUGUGCUGAGUUGGGAGUUGGACUGACAACGUCCAGAGGUCUCUUUCAGUCUAACUCACUGUAAAAUCUCAUGUUUUUAUCAAAAACUGGGAGUUUAAAUCACAUUAUUAUUUCAGAGCCUCAACAAACAUGAAGACAACUUUCAAAACUUUGCUUUCUUUCUUAUUAAUCUUUCGUUGUCAUCUCAUGAGAUGUCUCAGGAAAGCAUUUAAAACUCAUUAGCAUGAUUUCAGCUCCCCUCUGAAAAAAAAAAAAAGAACAUUUGUCUUCUGUUGGAGUUUGUUUAUUUCUUAUAAGCUUGUUGGUUGAUUGUAUAUUUUGCACUACAUCAGAUGUUUGAGUUAUUAUUUACAGUCCUUUCAGUGCUGUUUUCAUCUUCUGGAUAUUUUCCCAUAAAAUGUGAAAAUAACAAUUAUUGCAAAACAUCAAAAUAAAAUAAAUACA
ensembl:lncRNA